GACGAACGCUGGCGGCGUGCUUAACACAUGCAAGUCGAACGAAGAGCGAUGGAAGCUUGCUUCUCUCAAUCUUAGUGGCGAACGGGUGAGUAACGCGUAAUCAACCUGCCCUUCAGAGGGGGACAACAGUUGGAAACGACUGCUAAUACCGCAUACGAUCUAAUCUCGGCAUCGAGGAUAGAUGAAAGGUGGCCUCUACAUGUAAGCUAUCACUGAAGGAGGGGAUUGCGUCUGAUUAGCUAGUUGGAGGGGUAACGGCCCACCAAAGCGAUGAUCAGUAGCCGGUCUGAGAGGAUGAACGGCCACAUUGGGACUGAGACACGGCCCAGACUCCUACGGGAGGCAGCAGUGGGGAAUCUUCCGCAAUGGACGAAAGUCUGACGGAGCAACGCCGCGUGAGUGAUGACGGCCUUCGGGUUGUAAAGCUCUGUUAAUCGGGACGAAAGGCCUUCUUGCGAAUAGUGAGAAGGAUUGACGGUACCGGAAUAGAAAGCCACGGCUAACUACGUG
rnacentral:rRNA from 1 species